rnacentral:rRNA from 1 species
CGGACGGGUGGGUAAUGUCUGGGAAACUGCCCGAUGGAGGGGGGUAACUACUGGAAACGGUAGCUAAUACCGCAUAACGUCGCAAGACCAAAGAGGGGGACCUUCGGGCCUCUUGCCAUCGGAUGUGCCCAGAUGGGAUUAGCUAGUAGGUGGGGUAACGGCUCACCUAGGCGACGAUCCCUAGCUGGUCUGAGAGGAUGACCAGCCACACUGGAACUGAGACACGGUCCAG